UCCUGGCUCCCAGCUGUGCAGUGAGCCGGCGCCUUCUGUCCCCAGCAGUGCCUGGAGCUCGAGCUCCACUUGUUCCACCCUCCCUACGCCCCUGGUCACAGCACAGAAGAAGGUCCCGGCGCCCAGCAGCCUCCUGGAGCAGUGGACAGCGGCUCCUGCGACUGGGGACUCUCCGCAAUGCAACUGGGGGCAGAUUUAAAAUAAAUGUAUUACUAGGACUGGGGCUUAUUCCAUACUGAUGUCCUUCCUACUACCAGCGGUUUCCGGUUGAGCAAUAUUCUUUGGUGCUACUGUCCGUGUGUGGAUGCUGACCGUCUCUAGAGAUUCUCCGGUGCACCCCGCAACCAAGGAAGGUGCCUCUCUCGACUGUGGCUGUGACCGACAACGGGGGCCGUCCACGGAUACUAAACGGAUCCACUCCUGGCUGCAAGAGAAAGAUGGAGAAGGAGCAGGUGAAAGAGGAGGAGAAAAAGAGAAGUCACUGAAAAGAGAGAGAAAAGGAAAGAGAAAAGAGAGAGAAAAUUCCAGAUGAUAUCAUCCCUGAAUAUGUCUGAUGAGGACCCAAAGUAAACAUAGACAAGAAAAUUAUUUUAUUUAUUCUGGCACCUUAUAUUUUGAAAUAACAUCACGGUUGUCCCAGUAUUUAUACAAUAUCACACUAUUCUAUUCUUUUGUACCGUCAUUCUGGAAUACCUGGGAGGAAGUAGGUAAUUUUCUUGAAUUCAAAUACUACACCUACUGUACAUUCAGUGCAGCCCUAUUCAUUCUCAUGGAGAGUAGCUAUGAAAGACCUUUCAGGAUCCUGCAAGGGGCAAGUAGUGUAGUGUUGUCGUCAAUGAGGGGCUUUUUUGGCAGGUACCCAGGCUGCCUACAUGGAAUGAAAAGAACAUUUCCCAUUGUAUAAAGUAAUACAUGGAUAAAU